rnacentral:piRNA from 1 species
UGACUGUUGACUCGACUUUCUUGAAGAUC